rnacentral:rRNA from 1 species
AUUGAACGCUGGCGGCAUGCUUUACACAUGCAAGUCGAACGGCAGCACGAGUGCUUGCACUUGGUGGCGAGUGGCGGACGGGUGAGUAAUACAUCGGAACGUAUCCUUAAGUGGGGGAUAACGCAUCGAAAGAUGUGCUAAUACCGCAUAUUCUCUGUGGAGGAAAGUAGGGGAUCGAAAGACCUUAUGCUUAUGGAGCGGCCGAUGCCUGAUUAGCUUGUUGGUGGGGUAAUGGCCUACCAAGGCGACGAUCAGUAGUUGGUCUGAGAGGACGACCAGCCACACUGGGACUGAGACACGGCCCAGACUCCUACGGGAGGCAGCAGUGGGGAAUUUUGGUACGAAUAGGCGG